UCAAUCAAUCAAUCAAUCAAUCAAUCAAUCAAUCAAUCAGGGCUCGCGUUGCACGUAUUCCCUCUCUAUAAAUCCAGUAGCCGGCAGAGCUGCACGGGACCCUCCUUGUCGCUCAGUGAGUCCCGCAGUGGUCACACCGGCCCGCCUCUUGUGGCACGCCGGGCGUGGCCGCUCAUUGCCGAAAAGCGCCGCACGCAGGCUGAGGAACAUUCGUCAUUUUUAGUGCAGGAUGGCGCGGACCCCCAGCGCGGUGCUCUUUUGGACCCUCUUAGCAGACCUCACGGGUACCUCGGUGGCUCUGCUUUCUCUCACCAAGCCGCCAGGCAGCUUCGGCGUCUUUCCGUGCACCUUGGACUCGCAGAGCGUCACUAAGAACAUCAUCCACUGGUACCGGCAGAGAGCGGGCCAGCCCCUGGAGUGGCUCCUGUACAUCAAGUCCAAUACGGACAGGAAAUUCGCUCCGGGGGCCGACGGCAAGUUUACGGCCAUGAAGGACAAGGACUCGUGCCUGCUGUCGGUGCUGAACUUGGAAAGGAACGACGCGGCGGUCUACGCGUGCGCCUACUGGAGCUACAGCAGCACGACGCUUCGGGGAGCGCGGCGGCCGCGACAUAAAGUGUUGAUUGUAGGGCGACAGCAGGGGUCGCGUGAACCGGCGAGAGGACACGUCGGUCGCUGCGGUGACUUCGUCGUUGUCACCUACUUUCAGUCUCGGGCGUUAUCAGUCGGAUAG